CCUUUACUUACCCAAAUCCUAUAAAACGGCCCCACCCUUAUCUCCCUUCGCUGACUCUCUUUUCGGACUCAGCCCACCUGCACCCAGGUGAAAUAAACAGCUUUACUGCUCUCACACAAAGCCUGUUUGGUGGUCUCUUCACACGGACGCGCAUGAAAUUUGGUGCCAUGACUCGGAUCGGGGGACCUCCCUUGGGAGAUCAAUCCCCUGUCUUCCUGUUCUUUGCUCCGUGAGAAAGAUCCACCUACAACCUCAGGUCCUCAGACCGACCAGCCCAAGGAACAUCUCACCAAUUUUAAAUCAGGCAGCACCGAACCCCAGAGAGAGGCAAUGACCUUCCCAGGGGAUUUCUACAAAUUAAUAGAAAAACUGGAACUCCACUGCCCACUGCAGCACCACCAUGUCUUUCGGACAGUACCUCUUGCCACAUGGUAUUUCCUAUAUCUUCCUGUCUUUUCCAUGGCCAAAAAUGAUCAAGUAAAGAACAUUAAAGAAGAAAUAAAUUACUACAUAUUAAAAAAUACAUACUGUAAGAUGUUCUUUGUACAAAAAUGUGACAACUUCAAUAAGAGUAACUUGGACAACCUGAGGCAUUAAUUGAGGAUCAAUAUGAUGACUUUACAUUGAGAAUCACAUAUACCCUCUGAAUAAAUUUAAAAAAUGAAAUUUUUUAAUUUUCAUUAAAAAUUAAAUUUUUUUGAGUGAUGAAAAUACUCAAUCACAUUAUUUUCAAAUUGUUGAUAAGCAUGGAAAUUAUCAGAGAACCAGAAUAUUCAAGGUUUAUCUUUCCUGUUUUUGUCUUAAAUCACAACUAUGUGUUAAAUAAUUUGUAUGACCUAUUUCAGUGGCAGUAGGUUAAAUAAAAUUCUGUUUGUAUCUCC
rnacentral:lncRNA from 1 species